GAGGAAAGUCCGGACUCCCUGAAACGACGGUGCCGGGUAACGCCCGGGCAGGGCAACCUGACGGAAAGCGCCACAGAAAAGAGACCGCCUCGCCGCUCUGGAGGUUCGCCAAAGGAUGCGACGGGGUAAGGAUGAAACGGUGGGGUAAGAGCCCACCGCACCGCUGGCAACAGGGGUGGCACGGCAAGCCCCACCGGGAGCAAUGCCAAAUAGGGCCUCCGCGCGGGCAGGUC
rnacentral:misc_RNA from 1 species